GUGAGGAAUAUUGGUCAAUGGCCGAGAGGCUGAACCAGCCAUGCCGCGUGCGGGAAGACGGCCCUAUGGGUUGUAAACCGCUUUUUUGUGGGAGCAAUAAGUUGCACGUGUGCAAUGAUGAGAGUACCAUGAGAAUAAGCAUCGGCUAACUCCGUGCCAGCAGCCGCGGUAAUACGGAGGAUGCGAGCGUUAUCCGGAUUUAUUGGGUUUAAAGGGUGCGUAGGCGGAUUUUUAAGCGUGAGGUGAAAUGCCCGGGCUCAACCUGGGAACUGCCUCGCGAACUGGGAGUCUUGAAUGCCCCUGCCGUGGGAGGAAUGUGUGGUGUAGCGGUGAAAUGCAUAGAGAUCACACAGAACACCGAUUGCGAAGGCAUCUCACGAAGGGGUGAUUGACGCUGAGGCACGAAAGCGUGGGGAUCAAACAGG
rnacentral:rRNA from 1 species